GCCGGAGACCGGAGCAAUGUCUGUGUUGUCCCCACAGUAGACACUCCUUGCUUCCUCUGGACAACUGGAGCAGGCCUAGUUUGACUGACAAGCCUUCCCACUAAGAAGUGAAUUUUCCCCACUGGCAAACGCAGCCAGUCAGUCUCCUGAGUCAAGAGCCACUGUGGUCUCGAAAUUGAUCUCACUGGUCCCGGGAACUCCCAUCACCUCCUCCAGACUGAGCUCCUCACAGGCGGGAACAUGGUUGUUUCUCAAUAAACAAGUUGAAAAAGG
rnacentral:lncRNA from 1 species